rnacentral:snRNA from 1 species
UCAUGCUAUCUCUUUGGAU